UUUCCGUAGGUGAACCUGCGGAAGGAUCAUUACCGAGUGAGGGCCCUCAGGGUCCAACCUCCCACCCGUGUUUAUCGUACCUUGUUGCUUCGGCGGGCCCGCCUCACGGCCGCCGGGGGGCACCCGCCCCCGGGCCCGCGCCCGCCGAAGACACCAUUGAACGCUGUCUGAAGAUUGCAGUCUGAGCAUCUUAGCUAAAUCAGUUAAAACUUUCAACAACGGAUCUCUUGGUUCCG
rnacentral:misc_RNA from 1 species